GAUGAACGCUGGCGGCGUGCCUAAUACAUGCAAGUCGAGCGAACAGACGAGGAGCUUGCUCCUCCGACGUUAGCGGCGGACGGGUGAGUAACACGUGGAUAACCUACCUAUAAGACUGGGAUAACUUUGGGAAACCGGAGCUAAUACCGGAUAAUAUAUUGAACCGCAUGGUUCAAUAGUGAAAGACGGUUUUGCUGUCACUUAUAGAUGGAUCCGCGCCGCAUUAGCUAGUUGGUAAGGUAACGGCUUACCAAGGCAACGAUGCGUAGCCGACCUGAGAGGGUGAUCGGCCACACUGGAACUGAGACACGGUCCAGACUCCUACGGGGGGCAGCAGUAGGGAAUCUUCCGCAAUGGGCGAAAGCCUGACGGAGCAACGCCGCGUGAGUGAUGAAGGUCUUCGGAUCGUAAAACUCUGUUAUUAGGGAAGAACAAAUGUGUAAGUAACUAUGCACGUCUUGACGGUACCUAAUCAGAAAGCCACGGCUAACUACGUG
rnacentral:rRNA from 1 species